GUUCAUCUGCGGUACUAAUGAAACACACAUGAAGAAGCUUUGAGUCCUCAGAAACACCCCGGCCGGUGUUGAAGCAGAUGAGAGACACUAUGCUGGACACCUUCAGGAACAGCUUCGCUUUAAAUGACUCAAAGUGUGGAGAGAGUUUUCUUACAACAUUGCUGACACAGAUCUGUACCUGUUUCCUGGCUUUGACGCGCUUGUAAGCGAAGUCCGGAAACGGGGAGCAGGGAAUGAACCGUCCGGUGCCAGAGGUGGCGUGCAGGUUCCCGUCCUCCAGAACGAUCUUCCCCUGACAGACCACAAGCAUCGGGGCUCCCCUCAGCUCCAUGCCCUCAAACACAUUAUACUCGGCUGCCUGCAGGAACACACAACAUCAGGCAAAAGGUUCUGUGUUUGGCUCUCAUCUGUCCUUUGUGUGCCGGAGCAGGACAUGACACGCUCUCUGGCUUCUGCCAAGAAUGCUAGCAUGAGCUCAUGUAGAAAAACACAACGCUGGCAGGUAACGGAGCCGUGUUUUAGGCGACUUCAUGGAGCAUGGGAACCAAGGAUACAGAACCACAGUAUAAACAACCAAUAAACAGUCAGUCGGCCGCAGUUCUGGCCGGAGGGAUGGCAGCCAGUGCUGUUUGGAUGUGUAAUAGUCCCUAGAGGAGUGGCCGAACAGGAAAUGAAAAUGUGUUGUCAUUUUGGCAGCGCCUGAGCUUUGCUGAAUCUUUCCUCUGGAUACUGUUUUUUAUUUCAAACAAUCCUGUAGUAAGGAAGUAAGGAGUUCUCAUCUCACACAAAUCUAAAAUCACACUGCAGUGCAUCGAUUAGUAGCUUUCUCUUGUUCUGGUCAUGGUAAAGUUUAAUGGAAAAUUUUACAUCUCCCCUGAAGUUAAACAGUUGAGUUUGACUAUUUAUUUGAAUCCAUUCAGCUGAUCUUCGGGUCUGACGGGAGCACUUUUAGCUUAGCUUAGCAUAAAUCAUUGAAUCUGAUUAGACCAUUAGCAUCUCACUUUAACAACAGAAAAUGAAUGUGUGUUGUCAUUUUGGCAGUGCCUGAGAUUUGCUGAAUCUUUCCCCUGAAUGUUUUUUUUAUUUCGAACAAUCCUGUAGUAGGGAAAUUCCAGUUCCCGUCUAACACAAAUCUAAAAUCAGACUUCCGGGCAUCGAUUAGUAGUUUUCACUUGUGAUGGUCAUGGUAAAGUUAUAAAAACACUACUUUUAUUUUUUCAAAUAUGUUAAUUUUACGUCUCUGCCAGAGUUAAACUAUUGAAUUUAACCAAUUUUGAAUCCCUUCAGCCGAUCUCCAGGUCUGACGGGGGCACGUUUAGCUUAGCUUAGCAUAAAUCAUUGAAUCGGAUUAGACCAUUAGCAUCUCACUCGAACAACAGGAAAUGAAACAGGCCGAGCAGGAAAUGAAAAUGUAUUGUCAUCUUGGCUGCGCCUGAAAUAUGCUGAAUCUUUCCCCUAAAUGUUUUUUUUUGUUUCAAACAAUAUUGUAGUGAGAAAAUUCCAGUUCUCGUCUCACACAAAUCUAAAAUCAGAUUGCAGUGCAUCGAUUAGUAGCUUUCUCAUAUGCUGGUCAUGGUAGAGUUUAAAGAAACACUCCACUUUUUUGGAAAAUAAGAUUAUUUUACAUCUCCAUAUAGCUGGCAGAGCACUUUUAGCUUAGCUUAGCAUAAAUCAUUGAAUCGGAUUAGACCAUUAGCAUCACACUCAAAACAGAAAAUGAAACAGGCCGAACAUGAGUUGUCAUUUUGGCAGCGCCUGAGUUUUGCUAAAUCUUUUCCCCUGGAUACUGUGUUUUAUUUCGCACAAUCCUGUAGUAAGGAAAUUUCAGUUCUCGUCUCACACAAAUCUAAAAUCAGACUGCAGUGCAUCGAUUAGUAGCUUUCUCUUCUGCUUGUCAUGGUUUAAUGGAAAACUCAACCUUAAAAAAAUAGGCUAAUUUUAAAUCACGCAUUUUCUAAAGAGUUGAGUUUUACCAUUUUUGA
rnacentral:lncRNA from 1 species